AAACUGUGCAAUGCGCGAAAGCGCGACACGGGAAGCCUGAGUGCCUUAACUAUGUUAAGGCUUUUCUUGAGCCUAAAAAGCUCAAGGAAUAAGAACUGGGUAAGACGGGUGCCAGCCGCCGCGGUAACACCCGCGGUUCGAGUGGUAGUCACUUUUAUUGAGCCUAAAGCGUUUGUAGCCGGAUUUGUAAAUCUCCAGGAAAAGACUUCAGCUCAACUGAAGAAAUUUUGGAGAGACUGCAAAUCUAGGGACCGGGUGAGGUUGAAUGUACUUCUGGGGUAGGGGUAAAAUCCUGUAAUCCUGGAAGGACGACCGGUGGCGAAGGCGUUCAACUAGAACGGAUCCGACGGUGAGGAACGAAGGCUAGGGGAGCAAACCGGGUUAGAUACCCGGGUAGUCCUAGCUGUAAACACUGCCCACUUGGUGUUGCAUCUCCGGUAAGGGGGUGCAGUGCCGUAGCGAAGGUGUUAAGUGGGCCGCUUGGGGAGUAUGGUCGCAAGGCUGAAACUUAAAGGAAUUGGCGGGAGAGCACCGCAACGGGAGGAGCGUGCGGUUUAAUUGGAUUCAACGCCGGAAAACUCACCGGAGGCGACCUAUGUAUGAGAGUCAACCUGAUGAGUUUACUCGAUAGUAGGAGAGGUGGUGCAUGGCCGUCGUCAGCUCGUACCGUAGGGCGUUCACUU
rnacentral:rRNA from 1 species